CCUAAUGCCAAUGUUAAAUUACAAAUUGUAAAAUCCUUUUUUUCUUGUUAGAUGAACAAUGCCAACACCAUAAACAAAAACUUUCACAUUCUAAACUCCUUCGUUCUCUCUAUUGUCUUCUUCAUCAUCUCAUCUUUCUCCUUGGUUAGGAUUGACAUUACAAUUAGAGAAGGAGACUUCUUCCACUCCGCUAUCUUAGUCUAUCUCAAGGUAAGUACCCCCC
rnacentral:lncRNA from 1 species